rnacentral:rRNA from 1 species
AGCCUUUAGCAAAACAAGUAUUAAAGGUCCCGCCUGCCCAGUGAAAUUUUUUAACGGCCGCGGUAUUCUAACCGUGCAAAGGUAGCGUAAUCACUUGUCUUUUAAAUAAAGACCUGUAUGAACGGCUAUAUGAGGACAAACCUGUCUCCUACGACCAAUCAGUGAAACUGAUCUUCCAGUACAAAAGCUGGAAUACUGCCAUAAGACGAGAAGACCCUGUGGAGCUUAAAACCCACUACCAAUAAACCAAUGCGGUUUAAUAGUAUAUGAUUUUGAGUUGGGGCGACUUCGGAAUAAAAAUAAACUUCCGAGCACCAGGCCACAAACCUAACCAAGGCCCACAAGCCAAGCCAAACGACCCAGUCACACUGAAUAACGAACCAAGUUACCCCAGGGAUAACAGCGCCAUCUUCUUCAAGAGCCCCUAUCGACAAGAAGGUUUACGACCUCGAUGUUGGAUCAGGACACCCAAGUGGUGCAGC